AAAUCUUUGUCCUCUGACCUUUAACAGUAGCAUUGGCUGAUAAUGACAUCUGCUAGUUAGGUGCCAACAACCUUAGUUUCUAACGUUAUUGGCUAACUAUCUGCUAACUGGCUAAUUGUUAUAUGCAUUGUUACUUGUUGUGACAAAGUAGAGUGUUUUAAUAAUUUUUCUUUCUAUCAUUUAUUCAUUUACAGGUGGAUUGUAUGACUUUAGGCAAACUUGACACAUACCAUUGAUGCCAGAUGAUACAUUGGAGCUGAUGUUGUUGAGAGAGGACACAAUUUUCCCAGGAUAAACAGGCCUUACCGGGACAAGUUCGGCGAUCUCUGGUCUAUUUGCGGGCACAGAGAGGUUUAAAGGCAUUGGCAGAGGAGGAGGAAGGGGAUCUGGACUCGGAGCUGAGUGGGAGGACGCCAGGCGGAGGGAAGACUCUUGAUUUCUGUCGAAACACAACAUGUCGUCUGGUCAUGGCCAUCUGUGGCGAGUAGAAGGUGGAAUGGAUGCUGUCAUCCAGCUGACCGCUGCUGGCGUGGGAUCCGAGUCCCAAGCUGCUGCCGCUGGGUGUCUGGUAGAUGCUGCGCUCCCACGUCUGCCCGCUG